GGGGUGACUGUACCAAAAAGUCCCGCUCCUGCCAGGAGGAAGCGGCAUCGCCGAGCAUUUUCUCUCAUCGCCGGCGUCCUCAAUGGCAAGCAUUGUAGAGGCCCGAUAAAUAAUCUGCUGCUUUCUGAUCCCCGGGACCUUCCUCAGCUGACCCCUGAGACGGCCCCUGUCGCGUCGUCAAGAUUACCUCAAGAUUAGACCCUGCCCCAUCAUCGCUGGGGACAGUGAUGGUGAAGUUCAGCAGGCUGGUUAACUUUAGCUGGUUCUUCGGAGGACACCGCAGCCACUGCCGCGUCUUACGCAGGCCUGUAUGUGGCAAGGAGGGAUUAUUUGAAGUAUAGAAUUUGACUCCAGUAUGUGGGAGGAUUGACUCGCUGGCCUCUGUCGCAUUUGAGGGACCUGACAUGGGCAGCGGGCGUCGUGGAUCCGCUUGGCCAUCUUAUUACCAGCCGUCUAACUCGCACAAAAGCCCCC
ensembl:lncRNA